CCCAUGUGGGAGGGAAGCGGCUCUCGCGUUCAGUCCUGCCCCUUGUCCGCCCUCGGCCCCGCGGCGGCUCGUGCCCCACGCUGGCUGCUCCCAUUCUCUCUCGUGCUUUCCGGCUCUCUGCUGAGGUCCUCAGGGUGUGCAGGGAGCGUCCCCAGGGAGGAAAAACCAAAAAUCGGGCAGGAAUAAACGAUUCCAGCCCUGCGUGGGUGCUGGGGCUGGCAAACAGAGGGUGCCAGAAGCCAAAUUUGGUAGGUAAGGAAUGAACGUGAGGUUCCUGAGAGACUGUGAUAUUACAUCGUUAUUUAAAAGUGCAAGCACGUGUAGGUAUUACAUCAUAAGGUGGAUAUUUCCUCUGCCCACUGAGUGUAAAUGCAUAAACAUCCUCUAAGCAGAUAGGUCAAGGAGGGACCUGCUUGUGAAUUGCUUGCCUGCCUGCUUUUUGUUUAAUCAAUUUGGAGCACUUUGGGCUCACGCUUCAUUUAUAAGCUGUGAGCAGGGGGUUUCGGUCUAGGAUCAGCUGCACGAGGAGUUUUAAAGUCACAAAAGACUGAUUCCCUGCAUUGGGAAACCUCUUUCCACCCGAGGCCUCAGGCAAGCAAUAUGCUUUUUCGCUUCUCUGUCCUUGUGGACGUAAUUAAUGCCAAUGGAAGACUUUUUAACAAGGAAAAAAUUAAGUAGCAUGUAUUAAACAGAGGAACUGUUACACACGGAGCUAAAGUAUCAGGGUUAAUCGCAGAAAGUUGUGACUUCGGAGUAAUCAUUGGUGUGUCGUACCCAUCAAAUGCAAAUCAGAGAUCAGGCUGAAAAAAUAGAUGUAGAAUUAGGCUUCAAAAUCCAUUGCUGGAUCUGAAUGUGACUACUGCCUUGUACUAACACCAGCAUGGGUAGAGCCUUGCAUUGGUAUAAAGUAUGGUAAUGGUAUGCAUAGCAUAUUUCAUCACUGGUUGUCAAUGUGAUAAUUAAAAGCUGUGAGGUACAACACUGGUACAAAGCCUAACAUAUGCCAGAAUGGUGCACCUUAAAUUACUUGCCCUGUUGUUUCCUUUUAAGAUGGAUACUGAGAAGAAGCCAAAACCAAAAUCUGCACCAUAAAGAAAAGUUCAUCAGUUGGGUAUCGAUUUCAAAGACACUUUCAUCAGAAGAGAUUUGUCAGCCGUUGGAUGGAAUUUCUGGUCGCGACCAGGAGGAGAUGGCAAGGUUGGAGUAUCAGGUAGCGCCACCGGCGGGGAACUCACCUGGAAUGUGGAAAAUCAAGGUUCAGGCCUAGGGACUUGAACGUGAGAUUUGCAGAGGGAAUUAUGGAGUACCCACAGCAGCACAUUCCAUCACUGCGGUCACUUAGGUUUACAGCCUUAAUAAAAGGAUGUUUUUUUUUUUUUUCUUGAAGUGCUAUGGAGCCUUGUUAAACUAGAGCAAUUACAGACACACAAGAUAGGUGCUCUGGAAAGAUCAAAGCCCCCCUAAAGACAGCUCUGUAGGAUUCUGGAGCUCUCUUUGAAAAGCGCUCAGUUUACAAAGUAGAGAUGUAUUAAACCACACAUUAAAAACCCCAUGUUCAAAUAAUGCUAACAGCCUGACUUUAGUUAGAACGGAAUCCACGUUAGCCACUGUCUUUUCACAUCAAACUUUGAACCACUGUGAAGGAAGUCUCCUGAUAUAUCAGCAUGCUGUGGCACUGCGUGCAUCCUGUGACAUGCUGUCUUGCAUGGAAAGCUGUCCUUUUGUUACAGAGCACCAGCCCUACACUUUGUUAUUCUAAAGCUCCAGAUGUGUGCUAUGUGUGGUAGGCAGUCUUGAUCCUUGGUAUUUCACUUAGGAGAGCAGUGUGUAUGAACGGAAAGGAAAAGGGAAGAAAUAAUACUGUCCUUUUUGAACUCAAGCCUGUGCUUAGGGGUAGGGGAUAUAGGAAUCAGGACAGAAGCAGGUACAUUGAAAAGGAAAGGUGCUGUGGCACCUCCUCAAACAGGGCCCUGUGCUGCACACCUGCAUGGUGGCUGGAGAUCAUAUCAGAAGCAGAAUCCCACCAAAGGAGCUAGCAAGAGAAGGCCAUCGGAAGUCCUGUGUGCUUUCCAGAACUCGUAGAUUUUACUCAGAAGAUGCCUCCAACAGUUUGAUAGAUACCAAUAGCCAUGUGAUGAAAGAAGCACAAAAGGGAUACUCUUUUAAAAUGGUGGUGAGUGGCCCAUCUGAGGCUGAGGUGUCUGGGAAAUAAUUAAGUGUUGAGGAAAUAAACUUACAUCUCUCAGCUCACACAAGAAGCCCCUGCUGCUGCACUGCCUGCUCCCUCAUCAGGAAAAGGAGGAAAAGAAGAGAUCUGGGUGCUUUCUGUAUCUACCAGUGCAGUUGUGCUGCUGCACAUUUAAGAUCACAAGAAAGAGUGCAGUGCUGUGUCUGAAGACCAAAGGAGAAAGGAAUGUCCUGAAAGCUGGUCACUUCUACCUACUUUACCUGCGUCUGAGCAGAAUAAGCAGUGAGUGCCACGUGCUCAAAGUGUGUAACGUGCACUGGUGGAGUUUGUGUACCUCCAGACAUGAGUGACAUGUGUGCAGGGGUCUACCUGCUGUUUUCUGUUCGUGUGCCUCUGCUCACUCGGAGGCCUUUACUUGAUAGCAUCCCUCGAGUGUUUGCCUCUGUGGACCCUAAAUCAGCAGCUUGUGAUUUCAGAGCAUGCAGAGCUGAGCCCUAAGGUCAGGGACUUCUGUGGUUGCUGAGGGAGAGCUCCUGGCUGACCCUUUUGUCCGUCCCCAUGGCCUUCUGAAAACCGGUGGAUCCUGUGCAGCUGGAAGCACUGUCAUUGCCCUGGAGGUUUGAAAGGUCUGUGUUUGCAAAUGCGUGAAUGAUGAAAGUAAAAAGGGUAACAGGAGAAUCCCUGUUGUAUUCAUAACUCUUCUGAACUGCAGGUGCAUAAAUACAAACAUUCGAGAUGUGCCGGCUUCCUUUCUGUGCUCUGCAGUAAGUUAUAAUAGAAUUGAAAGUGUGUUUUUUGUUCACUCACGUCCUUUUUCAAUUCCACAAAUUCAGGAGAUUUGCUUUUUGUGCAGCAGUUAAUAAACAUCAUUGUGACGCUGAUCUGUGGAUAGCAAUUUGAAUUUUAGCUUAAAACCGUGCAUAAAUUUCCUUACAAUACCUUGAAAAAUGAUCUGUUUGAAGAACAUCACUUCUCUGUCAUCACUGUCAAUAACGUUUUCCAGGAAAAGAUUGCCAUUCUAUGAAAAUAUGAGUAGUAUUAUUCUGAAAGGCUAUCAGAUAAGAGAUGUGUUUUCCUUUGAAGUCAUACAAGUGUUCCUAGAUCUGUUAUCAUGUAGGAUUCUUAUCAUAAAUGAGUUAUUAAAAUUACUGUGCGGAGCUAACUUAGAAAGGACGCUGUACAGUGUGUAAGAAAAAUCUCUGGAGCUGAGUUAAACCUGUGGGUAGGUGUGCUGACCAUUUGCUCUGAUCAUUUGUGAGCGUUGAGGCUGUUCUGAGAUGCUGCAGGAUUUUACCCAUUUGGACAUACCUCUGAACUCACCAGUGAGCAAGUUAGCCAUUUGGUCCACUCAAGCAUCCAAGGGCAGGACAGAGCUGUCCCACAUGUUUUCUACAGUUUCCUGUUUUGAGUUGCUUCUUUUCUGCUUGGAGAAUCUAUCACUGUCAUAAAACUCCAGUUACAGCUGCAUUUACUUACUGUGUGGCUUGCUUUUACAGCUCUCCCAAACCUAUAUUACCUUUUAUAAAACCUGCAACAUACAUCCCCGUGUUCGUGCUUGUUCUUAUUUUUGCCCUAUGGGUCAUAUUGCUUACUUAUCCAGGGCUGUCAGACCCUGAAUAGCUUUUCUUUAUUUAUUCCUUUCUUACAUUGUUGUGUUUUGUGUUAUCUCUAACCUAAAAUUCCUUGUCAUUUACGAUGAAAACUUGCAAAAUGCAAACAGUUUACUUAGAGGAUUAGGGUUGAUGUGAAGGAUUAAUGCAGAGCUAAGGAAUCUCCCUGGAAGAUAUUUGGAUCAAAUUCAGCCAGCACAAGUUUCCACAAGUUGUAAUGAGCAGAGAGAAUGUAUAUUUUCAUAGGUUUGCAGCAUAUUUGAGUAUAAUCAUUUAAAUCUUGAACUGGUUUUGUUUCAGUCAAGUUUGUAAGUUUUUAGGGCAGAAACAGUGUUGUUUCUGCUUCAGAAUUCACAAACAAGUGAAUUUCAGAGUUGGUGCCUGAGCAUUCAGGGAAAUGCAGUUGGAGCCUCUAUGAGGAUGGGCAGCAUGUGGGACCAGCAUCUUUGUUGAUCCAAAUCUUUGAUAUAGAAGUGGGAAAAAAAAAAACCACAAUGAUCUUGGAAAGCAGUCAGCACCUUUCUGUUCAUAUGCUUUAUAUUAACUGUGUUCUAAUUUCCUGACAGGUUCUUUUUUGUAGCUUUGUAAUCCUCCUUGUGGUAAGAUUAAGGUGGGCUUACGGGGCUGCAUUAUGGGGAUGUGUACCUGAAUUUGCCUUGAGAAGAGCUGGUGAAUGCAGUCAGAGCUGUUCAUUACGCUGGCUGGAGUGUGCUGAGGAUCUGACCCAACUUUGGUGCUUGGUGGUAAUGCUCAAGUAGGCUUUAGUGGCUUUUGCUCUGCCUUGUAAUUUCUUUGCAGCAUAAUAAAAAAGCUCUUUAGAACAUUGCUACAUAGAUUAAUAUAGAAAGUGCUUGUGAUACUUUUAUACACAGAGAAUUUAAUACUUGGAUGCAAGAGCAAAUUGAUUGCAGGCAAUUCUGCGCUUGAGUACCCAGGAGUGAAAGGAAUGAUUACAAUAACCUCUGGGAUUUCUUCUCAGAAGUGGUUCCUGAAAACACCCACACCCACAAAGUAUUGGGCACAACAGAGUAUUGUUCCCUUCUGAUGUGGAAUCACAGAAACAUAUUUUACUUUGGGAGGUGGGAGGGGUGAGGGGGAGAGGAAACUCAAGAGACAUUAAUGUUUAAUGUUUUUAAUUUUGUAAAAUGAACAACAAAAAAGGAUAUGGUUUGUGAGUGCCUCUGAGAUUGUUUAAACUCUGGCAGCUUGCUAUCGGAUGAGAUGCUAAAAGCCAGGAAGGAAGAAACUGAGGGGCAUAGCAAGUAAACUGCUGCUAUCUCACCUUUGGCACCCUGGUCUGAUGGAAGAGUGAAAGAGCGGUGAAACAAAUUUGGCAUGCAUUGCUGUGGUCUCCACUAAAUGACUUGUGCCACCUUGAAUCGUAUCAGCUGGGACCUUGAACUGCAGCCAGGCAGGUAUAUUUCUCUUAUUUGUGGAGGGUUCUAGCUGGUAUAGAGCUCAUUUUCCUGCCCAGCCCCUGGGGUUAGGACUACAUGAAUUGUGCCUUUGCUUCACUUACCCUUUCCAGGUUGCCCUUUUCUUUUGCCCUGACAGAGAACAUGUCCGUGUCCGAUGGCUUCCAGGAAGACAAUUCAGCAUCUCUCAGGAAUGGGGAGUAAUUCCCUGAGGACCUGAACACCUGCUUGGCUUACCAGGGGUGAAUUAACCUCUGGUAAAUGCUGAAGAGAGUGAUACAAGUUACAUGGGUUGGAGCGGUGCUGAUAGAGACUGCACAAAGGUGCUCAGGAAACACAACUGCUUUUCUGUGGCAGAGGCUGAAAUUUUGAGUUGGGGACAGUGACAAAUAAUUCAAAGCAAAAAAUAAACUCUGAAGAAAAAAUCAGUUUGGAAUCUUUAAAGCUAAGCCUCUGAUACUUUAGAAUGCUAAAGAGAUCAUAUCAAUGUUAGUAGUUUAACAUUCUGCAAAAUACAAGCAAAGCAAGAAACAAGAAUUACUGAUCUAAAAAUUAAACAGUUCUGUAUUUUCAAAGCCUGGCAUUUAAGCUUUUAUUGUGAAACUGAUUUUUUGGCAGAAAAAAAGUCUGCCAGUAUUUCUUGCCCUCUUUGAGGCUGACUGAUUACUUUAAUUUGUAGGGUGUAUGUGCUUAAAGUGCUCUGGUUGGAGGUAUCCAUCUGGUGUAUAAAACUCUCAGUGGUCAGGGCAUUAUAAUACUGCGCCUCGCUGGAGGUUUUCCUGGAAGGGAAUAUAGGAGUUGCUCCAGCACAGCUCUGACACUGGUGAGACUGUGGCAAAGGAACAGAUGUUACUGUAGGUGAAUAAUAAUCUGCUGUUAUGGGGAGUGGGAGGGUGAGUAUACUACAGAUGAACAACACCGAGCUCAUUUAGGUGUGUGAUAGUUUGUA